AUAAAGAUUUAUCCAUAAACCUAAUAUCACAUGAUAUUAGGUCUAUAGAUUCAUCUGAACUGGCAGCAACAGUGCGAAUAAAUUCGAAUUUUUGUAGAGCUCGAAUUAAUUCGAACUGGUGCAUGUGGCGCCCUUCGUGGCGAAAUGAAAUGAAAUCAUUAGUAAAACCUUAGAAUAUACAUGUAGAUAGAAGGAACGGAAAAUAAACAUUCGAACCCGAUCCCGAAUACAAGAGAGAUGAAAGCUUAGACGCGCCAAUCACAAUUGAGCUAGCCGAAUUGAAAACGUUGCCGGCUCUAUUUUCAGUACGAAGGAAUGAACGAAGGAGAAGAUCAAAAUUUUUCCGAAAUAUUCAGAUAAAUUGUCGAUGUGGCAACGUGCAUUCGGAAAUUCUAAGCGCGUUCGGUGUUUGGUUAUUACCUCGGACCGCUCGGACUUGUCGCAACCGUUCGUUUAUUACAUCCAGAUUGAGGGGAAUACACAUCUGGAGCGUUCGGCAAAUAUAUCUGAGCAAUCGGAUGUCGAUCUUUUUCGUCGGACGUUUUCGAGCUAGCAAAGGGAUUUUAUCCACAGAGUUUACCUUUGUCUAUGGAUUAUUGGAUUUUAUCUGUCUUUGAUGUUUGUUUAUUUAUAAAAAUUAACAUUUCGUCGUAGUUUGUAUUGAAAAAUUUCAAUACCUAACUUGUUAUAAUUCUAUAAUUGGAUUUUAAAUAAAAUUAUGGGUAUGGAAUGCAGAUAACAAAUGAAUAGGCAGUGUGUAUAUUUUUGGAAUGAGAUAUCUGGUGGUGACUUUGGACAAUAUCAUUAGUAAGACUUUGGGGACAGAUAAUUUUUUCGUGUUAUUGUAUAAAGCGUUGUGCAUGUUCAGUUUAUUCAGAAGAGCGAUGGACAUUCAAGCUAGGGAUAUGAAGAAAAAGGCCAAGCUUUUAAAAAAGCUGACUAUGUUUACAAUAUAUGAAGUGGACUGGUUUCAUUACUUCUAAAUAAAUGAGACAGACUUCAGUGAAUUUUCCACCUUAUUAUAUCGAAAUUAUGUAAUGGAUGAAGCAGAAGAAAUUAACUCGUUCAAGGGUAUCGACUGGGACAUCAGUGUCCCAGAAGUAUUUAUAAAUGUCCUGUUCAGCAAUAAAUAUAUCCAGCAUGGAAUCAAUUGGGAAUAUAAAGCCAGAUCAGUGUAUUCAAGGUACUAUAUCUAUAUUUGUGUCAGCUAAUAGUUUAUUAUCAUACGAAAGUUUCAGAGAAAAAAAUACCAUAUUCAGGAAAAGGACUUGAAGUUUGUCAGUUGGACCCGAGGCUUGUUGCUUUUCUGAAUGGUGUUAUUUUCAAGAAUGGGGAGUCAGUGAAAUUAUUGGAAAUCAAAUGUCUAUUCAUUGGUCGAAUUAUUUCUGCUGAAAAUACUGAGCACCAUUGCCAAUAUUUGAGAAGAGGAAAAGCCAGCUAAUUUGAAAGAAUAAAUAAACAUUAUGCUAGAGUCUGAUUAAGUAUGGCAAUUAUGAAUUUGAAAAAUUGCGACUCUAUAGUGUUCUCAUCUGGUGAUAAGACAUCCAAAACUGAUAGUGAGCCAUUUGAUGAAGAAUUCACAAAAAAAUAAUUCUUAAAACUUCAAAUGAUUUAUUUUAAAAAUAUGCUUUACACAUGAAAGUUUAAAUUUUUCAAUUAGAAAGAUAUUUUUCCAAGCCUUAAUUAUGCUGUAAUAAGACCAUCCAGAAUAAGAAAAGUUCAGAAUCAUACAUGUCUGAAGUUAUACAUGUUAUAACUUCCAGACUAUUGAAAAAUUUGAGUCCAGUUGUUAUUAGUAAGAGAGUAAAGGAUUUGCUAUUGGAUCAUACAAUAUACAGGUUGAGUGAUUUAUUUAGGAAUCAUUUUUGUAAAUAUUAUUUGAUAUUUGUAACUACAAACAUAUUUAUGUUUUCAUUUAUGAUCUUUCAGAAUUCAGAGUUUUUUUCACAGACACGUUAUAAUGAAAUUACUUGAUAUAAUUAAUUUAAUUUUGAUGGCUAGGGGCUUUUGGGAUUUGUGUGUGUUAUUCUUUUUUCAUAAUUCUCAUCAAAAGGAUUGUUGUUUCAGUUUCUGAAUUUGUAAUAUUAUUUUGCCUUUGACAUGUCCAAUACAAUUUAAUUUGUGAAUGAUGGAUCAAUAAAACUUUAUUAUUAUUAUUACAAUAAUGACUACUCAUUUCUUCUUCUUCUUCUUCUCAAAUCACUUAUUGGUGAUUUAAUGGGUUCGCAUUUAGCAUGUACCCAGAUUGGUAGCUUACUCUGUGUUUGAUUGAUUUCUUAUUUUCUCUGACUUUCCCACCCUCAAAAAUCCAGAGAGAAUAAAGGAUAAGGUUGGGUUAUUUUCAUAUGAGGGAUCAAACAUCCAAUGUUAGUAGGUAUCUACUGUAUAAACAAGAUUCUUCUAUAUUUUUCAUUAAUCUGUUGAAUCCAUUUUAAAUUUCUAUUUUACCUAUUUUACAAAUAUUGCUUAUAUUUUAAUAUCUGAACAUUCCAAAAAUUCAUUCAAUAUUUGAACUAUAUCAAUGCUAUCUGUAAAGAUUACUUCAUAAAUAUUAAUGGGCCUUUGAAUCUCAAACUUUUCAAGUUUUGUGUAUAGUGUAUUAAUAUUGUGUACAUUCAGAUUACAUUCAAAAAAUACAUGCACCAACGAACCAACUUUACCGCAUUCACAAUUGGGUGAGGAAUUGAUUUUGAUCUUAUAUAAAUGUUCUGGUGUCAAACAAUGUCCUGAUCGUAAUCUCAUCAUAGUUGUAAUGUGUUUUCUUGUCAAAUUAUUUUUUAAUAGUUUAUAUGGCUUAUCAAUUGUACAUUUUUUAUCCCGAUUACGCAUGUGAGUGUAUAUUCUUCCCUUAUUUCUACCCCACUUUUGUAGUGUUCUGAUCCAAUUUUCCCUUAUUUUAUCCUUGAUAAUAUUGUACAUAAAUUGUGGACCUCCCUUGUAGUUUAAUAAUUCACCGUAUCUACCUUUAUUUGCAAGAUGAUCUGCUUUAUCGUUUCCUAUUAUUUCUGAAUGACUCGGUAUCCAAACUCCCUUUAUGAUCUUGUUAUCAUUACUUAAAUCUGCCCAUAUCUGCUUAACCGUUGCUGUGAUGGUAUCUAUUGAUGAGUCUAACUUCCAAUUUUUUAAAGUUAAUAAUGCACUUAAUGAAUCCGAGAAAAUGACUGCUUUGGUAAUAUUUUGAUUUUGAAUUAUUUCUAACGCUUUUCCAAUUGCUAAUAAUUCCGCUGAAUAAAUUGACCAGUAUGAAGGUAGUUUUCUGCUAUAUUCUAAAGGUAGAGACGCCACGAAGGGCGCCACAUGCGUAUAUCAAAGAACUGACAUAACAGCUGAAGCUCUGGAUGCAGUGUACCGUUCGUUUAUUUCAAAUAAAUCUUGAUUAUCUGUAAAAUCUGUGGUCACGUGACUAACAUAUCCGUCCGCUCUCGGAUGCUAUAGGCAACUGAGAUUAAGAAUGCAGCGCCAAGGUAAAGGCGGUAGAUAUCAUCAUUUGUUUCAGUUCAGUCUAGUGAUAUU